rnacentral:rRNA from 1 species
AUUGAACGCUGGCGGCAGGCCUAACACAUGCAAGUCGAACGAGUGGCGGACGGGUGAGUAAUGUCUCGCAAACCGCCUGAUGGAGGGGGACAACUACUGGAAACGGUAGCUAAUACCGCAUACCAUCGGAUGGGUCCCGAUCGGAUUAGCUAGUCGGUGGGGUAAAGGCCUACCUAGGCGACGAUCCGUACCUGGUCUGAGAGGAUGGUGAGUCACACUGUAACGGAGACACGGACCAGACUCCUACGGGAGGCAGCAGUGGGGAAUAUUGGACAAUGGGCGAAAGCCUGAUCCAGCCAUGCCGCGUGUGUGAAGAAGGUCUUCGGAUUGUAGAGCACUUUACGUUGGGAGGCGUUACCAACAGAAUAAGCACCGACUAACUUCGUGCCCGCAGCCGCGGUAAUUC